rnacentral:pre_miRNA from 18 species
GGAUUCUCCCUGCAACAACAUCCUGGUGCUGCCUGAGUCACUUUCACAAACUCCAGCAUCAGUGAUUUUGUUGCGGGGGGCA